AACAACUGACCUCCCCCCAGCUACCACACAAGGUUAGUCCAUUAAAAUGCCCUUUGUCAGAUGGAGAAAGGCCCACAGGUUAAGACCAUGGUAGAUACUGUAUUUGUGUGGUUGAACAACUAACCCACUCAAAACUGUCACACAAGGUUAGUCCUUUAAGUUGUCCUUUGUCAACUGAAGAAAGGCCCCCAGGCUAGAACCUCUUGC
rnacentral:lncRNA from 1 species